GGGCUGGGGCUCAGUGGAAGAGCGCUCUUUCCACAUGUGUGAGGCCCUGGGUUCGAUCCUCAGCACCACA
rnacentral:tRNA from 1 species